rnacentral:rRNA from 1 species
UACAGAGGGUGCAAGCGUUGUUCGGAAUUACUGGGCGUAAAGCGCGUGUAGGCGGCGUCGUUAGUCGGAUGUGAAAGCCCUCGGCUCAACCGAGGAAGUGCAUCCGAUACUGCGAUGCUUGAGUGUUGGAGGGGGUGGCGGAAUUGACGGUGUAGCGGUGAAAUGCAUAGAUAUCGUCAAGAACACCUAUAGCGAAGGCAGCUUACUGGGCUGUAACUGACGCUGAGGCACGAAAGUGUGGGGAUCAAACAGG